UACGGAGGGUGCAAGCGUUGUCCGGAAUUAUUGGGCGUAAAGCGCGCGCAGGCGGUCUGUUAAGUCGGGUGUUUAAGCCCGGGGCUCAACCCCGGUACGCACCCGAAACUGUCAGACUUGAGUGCAGGAGAGGAUAGCGGAAUUCCACGUGUAGCGGUGAAAUGCGUAGAGAUGUGGAGGAACACCAGUGGCGAAGGCGGCUUUCUGGACUGUAACUGACGCUGAGGCGCGAAAGCGUGGGGAGCAAACAGG
rnacentral:misc_RNA from 1 species